GAGAAAGAGGAGGAUGCAGUUUAUGGAGUGAAAGAGGAGGAGGAGGAGAUGACUGUUACAUCGAAAAAGGAGGAGGAAGAAGAGGAGGAAACUAGAUAUCUGGGCCCGGUUUCCCAAAGCCACCUUAAUGCAUCCAGUGGUUCUAACAAUGAAGUUAGCCGUGAAAUGGUUUUGAGAAACCGGGCCGUGAUUACCACUAGAGAGAGACAUGACAAUCGUGGAUACUAUGGGGAGCCUCAACAACAUCAUGAAGCUGACGAGGCAGAGAAGAGUCCCUCCAGAUCAGAACACCUCAAGAAACACCAGCGGAAAACCACAGGGAAGAAAUCUCACCGCUGCUCUGUCUGUGGGAAGAGUUACUCAAGAUCAGAUUCACUGAAGGCACACCAGAGAAUUCACACAGGGAAGAAGUCUCACCACUGCUCUGACUGUGGGAAGACUUACUCAAGAUCAGAUUCACUAAAAGUACACCAGAAAAAACACAUUGGAGAGAAACCUCACUGCUGCUCUAAUUGUGGGAAGAGUUGCACCUCUUUAGCAACCCUAAAAAUACAUCAGAGAAUCCAUAGAAGAGAAAAACCUUAUAGUUGCUCUGAUUGUGGGAAGUGUUUUGUUUUGUCAGGACAUUUAAAAUCACACCAGAGAACACACACAGGACAGAAACCUUAUAGCUGUCAUCUAUGUGGGAGGAGUUUUAGGCACUUAAGCAGCCUGAUAGUACACCAGAGAAUACACACAGGAGAGAAACCUUACCAAUGCUCUGACUGUGGGAAGAGUUUUGUUUCCUCAGGACUUUUAAAAUCACACCAGAGAACACACACAGGAGAGAAACCUCAUAGCUGUGAUCAAUGUGACAAGAGAUACUCUGAUAAAAGAUCACUGAUUAAACAUCAGACAAUUCAUACAUGAAGGAGUUGUUCAAUGUGAGAAGAGUUUUACUGAAUCUAGAGAGCUGACUUUGCACCAGAGAAAACACACGGGAAAUACACUUUAACACUAGCUCUGACUGUGGGAAGAGUUUUGUUUAAUCAGGACUUUUUAAAACUACACCAGAGAACACACACAGGAGAGAAACACCAUAGCUGUGCUCAAUGUGACAAGAGAUACGUUAUAUCAAU